GACGAACGCUGGCGGCGUGCUUAACACAUGCAAGUCGAACGGUAAGGCCCUUCGGGGUACACGAGUGGCGAACGGGUGAGUAACACGUGGGUGAUCUGCCCUGCACUUCGGGAUAAGCCUGGGAAACUGGGUCUAAUACCGGAUAGGACGCCGGCCUGCAUGGUCUGGGGUGGAAAGCGUUUGCGGUGUGGGCGGGGCCCGCGGCCUGUCAGCUUGUUGGUGGGGUGAUGGCCUACCAAGGGGACGACGGGUAGACGGCCUGGGGGGGUAACCGGCCACACGGGGACGGAGAUACGGCCCAGACUCCUACGGGAGGCAGCAGUGGGGAAUAUUGCACAAUGGUCGAAAGCCUGAGGCAGCGACGCCGCGUGAGGGAUGACGGCCUUCGGGUUGUAAACCUCUUUCAGCAUCGACGAAGCGAAAGUGACGGUAGGUGCAGAAGAAGGACCGGCCAACUACGUGCCAGCCGCCGCGGUAA
rnacentral:rRNA from 1 species